rnacentral:rRNA from 1 species
AUUGAACGCUGGCGGCAUGCUUUACACAUGCAAGUCGAACGGCAGCGGGGUAGUGCUUGCACUACUGCCGGCGAGUGGCGAACGGGUGAGUAAUAUAUCGGAACGUACCGAGUAAUGGGGGAUAACCAAUCGAAAGAUUGGCUAAUACCGCAUACGUCCUGAGGGAGAAAGCGGGGGAUCGCAAGACCUCGCGUUAUUCGAGCGGCCGAUAACUGAUUAGCUAGUUGGUGGGGUAAAGGCCUACCAAGGCGACGAUCAGUAGCGGGUCUGAGAGGACGAUCCGCCACACUGGGACUGAGACACGGCCCAGACUCCUACGGGAGGCAGCAGUGGGGAAUUUUGGACAAAGGGGGCAACCCUGAUCCAGCCAUGCCGCGUGUAUGAAGAAGGCCUUCGGGUUGUAAAGUACUUUUGUUAGGGAAGAAAAGGGAAGUGCUAAUACCACUUUUUGCUGACGGUACCUAAAGAAUAAGCACCGGCUAACUACGUG